GACGAACGCUGGCGGCGUGCCUAAUACAUGCAAGUCGAGCGGACAGAAGGGAGCUUGCUCCCGGAAGUUAGCGGCGGACGGGUGAGUAACACGUGGGCAACCUACCCUGUAGAUCGGGAUAACAUCGAGAAAUCGGUGCUAAUACCGGAUAAUCAUUUGAAGUGCAUGCUUCGAACGUAAAAGAUAGCUCCGGCUAUCACUACGGGAUGGGCCCGCGGCGCAUUAGCUAGUUGGUAAGGUAAGGGCUUACCAAGGCAACGAUGCGUAGCCGACCUGAGAGGGUGAUCGGCCACACUGGGACUGAGACACGGCCCAGACUCCUACGGGAGGCAGCAGUAGGGAAUCUUCCGCAAUGGACGAAAGUCUGACGGAGCAACGCCGCGUGAGUGAUGAAGGUUUUCGGAUCGUAAAGCUCUGUUGUUAGGGAAGAACAAGUGCCGUUUGAAUAAGGCGGCACCUUGACGGUACCUAACCAGAAAGCCACGGCUAACUACGUGCCAGCAGCCGCGGUAAGAC
rnacentral:rRNA from 1 species